AGGAAACUGACUGCUAUUAUAUUACAGUCCAAAAAGUUUUGGUUUUUUUUAAAUGCAAGCUAUUGGGACACCAGUGAGUGAGUGGUGGCACUGGGCAGGCCCUGAAACGCACACUCGUGAAGGAAGCUGACUGCUAUUAUAUUACAGUCCAAAAAGUUUUGUUUUUUUUAAAUGCAAGCUAUUGGGACACCAGUGAGUGAGUGGUGGCACUGGGCAAGUGAGCACAGUAUAUGCUGUGAGCCUGACACACAGGCUGGCAGGCAGGCAGGCAGACAACUGCAAUUACAUUACACAGAAAAAAAAAGCAGACUGAUGUUCUAGCCCUAAAAAGGGCUUUUUGGGGUGCUGUCCUUACAGCAGAGAUCAGAUGAGUCCUUCAGGACUGUAGUUGACACUGAAUACACUAGCCUAGUUAUCAAUUUCCCUAUCAAAUCAGCAGCAGCUACACUGUCCCUCCUCUCACUAAGAAUGCAGCUUCACAAUGAAUGUAAAAUGGAUGCUGUCCAGGAGGUGGGAGGGUCUGGGAGGGAGGGUCUGCUGCUGAUUGGCUGGAAUGUGUCUGCUGACUGUGAGGUACAGGGUCAAAGUUUACUCAAUGAUGACGAAUAGGGGGCGGACCGAACAGCGCAUAUGUUCGCCAUCCGUGGCGAACGCGAACAAGCGAUGUUCGCCAGGAACUAUUCGCCAGCGAACCGUUCGGGACAUCACUAGUG